CCUUUUUCCCCUUCCGUACCCUGCUGUGCCCAGUCUUAAGUGCUGGUCCCUUCCAAGGAGAGUGCACCACCAUCACGGCAAGGAUUAUGCAUCUACCAGGGGGUAAACACCAUUCAGCAUCUAGCCCUGAGAUAUAUUCACUGACGGGGAAUUAGCCGAGCCUCCAGAGAUGCUGACCUCCAUGUUCCAGGCUGUGGUUUUGCUGUUUACUCUGGAUUCCAGGCUUCUUUAACCUGCACUUCCAAACGUCUGGGCUUUUCCGGCCAGAGAUGCGGAACUCUGACUUUUCUGGCUCCUGAACAGGCUCCUUAGGAUUCAGGACUGGUCCCCAGGCAGGAAAGAAAAGGCAAAUGCCAACGGGGUCUUCGGUGCUGCCUCAGGGCAAGCCAGGCCUGCUGAUUUCCCACCAGCAACUCCAGGACCACUCCAAAGUCUUGCCUGAGCUGCAGUGCCCCCUGCAGGCUGAAGGCCGAGGUUUGGACCCAGAAGAGAUUAUGGGAAAUUGCAUCAGGAUUACCCUGCUCUCCUCAGCUUGGUUCAGAAGAUGGAAAUCGUCCAGAAAUCAGCACCCCCUUGUUCCUUAUUUAUGUCAAGGAAAUUACCCCUCUUUCAACUGAACCCUUCAUUCAACACUCCAGAAAUACAAGGUCACACACUGAGACAGUCUUUCUUUCUGGGACAUUACAUACCAGCUGGGGAGAAAAAUCACAACAUUGAAUUAUUCUUUUUCAUCCCAGUGCUGUAUGUGGUGGAAUGCCCAACAUUGCAGAUGCCCAAGAGUGCAAUCACCAGGCAGAGAAGCAAAGCAUCAGAGUGCUUUGCACAGUGUUUGGUUCACACGGUGAGCACAUUGUCCCUGUUCCUUUUGCUGUCUUCUCACCACAACUACCAAGAGCUGGACCCUUCUCAUCCCUUCCAUCCUGACCACUGUAGCUGGAUCAAACUGUCAUGGUCUUCACUGUCCCCUUACAGCUCUUACAAUGGCUCCCUAUCACUCUUGAGAUAAAGCCCAAAAUCUG